rnacentral:rRNA from 1 species
CAGUAACAAAUUAAUAAUU